rnacentral:rRNA from 1 species
UCUUGGUCAUUUAGAGGAAGUAAAAGUCGUAACAAGGUCUCCGUUGGUGAACCAGCGGAGGGAUCAUUACCGAGUUAUACAACUCAUCAACCCUGUGAACAUACCUAUAACGUUGCCUCGGCGGGAACAGACGGCCCCGUAACACGGGCCGCCCCCGCCAGAGGACCCCCUAACUCUGUUUCUAUAAUGUUUCUUCUGAGUAAACAAGCAAAUAAAUUAAAACUUUCAACAACGGAUCUCUUGGCUCUGGCAUCGAUGAAGAACGCAGCGAAAUGCGAUAAGUAAUGUGAAUUGCAGUAUUCAGUGAAUCAUCGAAUCUUUGAACGCACAUUGCGCCCGCCAGUAUUCUGGCGGGCAUGCCUGUUCGAGCGUCAUUACAACCCUCAGGCCCCCGGGCCUGGCGUUGGGGAUCGGCGGAAGCCCCCUGCGGGCACAACGCCGUCCCCCAAAUACAGUGGCGGUCCCGCCGCAGCUUCCAUUGCGUAGUAGCUAACACCUCGCAACUGGAGAGCGGCGCGGCCACGCCGUAAAACACCCAACUUCUGAAUGUUGACCUCGAAUCAGGUAGGAAUACCCGCUGAACUUAAGCAUAUCAAUAAGCG